UGGGCUACAAUGACUGACUAAGAAAAACACAUGAUUAUCUUAAUGGAUACAGAAAAAGUAUUUAACAAAAUUGAAAUAUCAACUCAUGAUCUUAAAACAAUUCUGAACAAUCUAGUAAUCGUAGGAAAUUUUCUUAAACUGAUAAAGAAUAUCUACAAAAAACCUAUAGCUAACAUCAUACUUAAUGAAAUACUAAAUGCUUCCCCCCAGCCACACUAAGAUCAGAGACUUGGCAAAUACGUGUGCUCCAAACAUUCCCUUUUAACUUCUUACUGCAAGUCUUAGCCAACGCAGUAUUUCAAGAAGACAUAAAAGGCAAGCAAAUUGGAAAGGAAGAAAUUAAACUAUCCAUAUUCACAUGUAAAUAGUAAACUAUACAGACACCACUGUAUGUAGAAAAUGCCAAGAAAUAUACAUAAAAGUUCAUAUAAUAAAUGAGUUUAGCAAAGUUGCAGGAUACAAGGUCAACAUACCAAAAGUGACUUUCAGAUGCAUAUACCCCUAUUUGGUGUUCAAUCACAUCAGUGUGUUCUCUCUAUAAAAGAUGAUGCUAUUAAUAUUCCCACUCUGCCCUUCCUACACACUUCCUCUUCUGUCCCCAUAUACUGUCUACUACAUUUUUACCUUUAUAUUAUCAAGGUAAAAAUUGUUACCUUUACCUUUACAUUUACAUCGUCCCAAUUGUCAACAUUUUUAAUCAUUGUGUUGUCUAAAUGUGGUUUAUUAAAUUGAAAAACAAUAAACGCCAUUACAUUUUUAAAAAGUGAUUUUAUUUCUAUAUACUAGUAAUGAAUGUUUGAAAAUUUAAAAACCACUACCAUUGACAACAGUAGAAAAUAUAUAAAAUAUUUGGUAUAAAUAUAAAAUAUGUCCAGGAUCUGUAUGCUGAAAGUGGAAAAAAAAGCAAGACCAAAAUAAAUAUACAGCUAUAUCAUGUUUGUGGCCUAAAGACAAAAUAUUGUGAGGAUGUAAAUUUUCUUCAAAUUCAUCUAUAGUUCUAACUCAACAGAUAUACUAGCAGAAUUUUUUAUAGAAAGCAACAAUUCUAAAAUUUCUGGAAAAGCAAAGUAGUAAUCAACACGAUUUUUGAGACGGACGAAGUUGUACACACUAUCUAAUUUUAAGACUUCCUAUGAUUAGGAAAGUGUGGUAUUUGUGAAUGGAUAACAAUGGAACAGAAUAGGCAGCCCAGAAUUAGACCCAAACAAAUAUAAUCAAUUGAUUUUUUGACAGAAGUGCAAAAGCAAUGCAAUAAAAAAGAAACAAUCUUUUCAACAAAUGGUACUAGAACAAUUAGAUAGCCAUAUUUUAAAAACUGAACCUUGACCCAUAGCUAAACUUUAUACAAACCUUUAUUCAAAAAGUAUCAUAGAUAUAAAUGUAAAACUUAAAACUAUAAAAUUCCUGGAUGAAAAUAAUAUAUAAUCUUCAUGACAUUGGGUUAGACAAGUGUUCUUACAUUGCACAUCAAAAGUAAAAAAAUUGAUAAAGUGAAUUGUAUCAAAAUUAAAAUUUUUGCUCUAAAAAAGUCAGUGUUCAAAGAAUGAAAAGACAAGUCACAGACUAGGAAAAUCUAUUUCCAAAUAAUGUAUCUGACAAAGGAUUUGUAUCAAUAUAUUAAAAAACAUAUAAAAACAGUAAGAAAAGGAAUAAUCCAAUAAAAAGGGGAGCAAAAGAUCUGAACAGACACUUUGCAAGAAUAUAUCAUCUUUAACUGUAAGAUCAUCAUAAGGUUUGAGGUGAUAUCCUGAUUUGAUCAUUAUACAAUGUACACAUGUACUGAAACAUCACAAUGUAUCCCAUAAAUAAUUAUGUGUCAAUUAUAAACAAAUAAAAGAUAAUACCAUAUAUCAUUGGGGAAUUACAAAUUCUAACAAUGAUUAAAAUUUAAAUGAAUAUAUAUAUAUAUUUACAUACAUAUAUAUGUAUAAUACAAAAUUACUAAAUACUGGUAAAGAUACAAAGCUACUGGAACUCUCACAUAUUUGUAAUUGGAAUGCAAAAUGCUAGGGAAACUUUAGAAAACAGUCUGGCACUCAUUCCCACUCCAAAGCAUUUACCCUAUAAAAAUGAGCAUUUAUCACACAAAACUUAUACCUGAAAGUUUAUAGCAAAUUUGUUCAUAUUCACCAAAACUAGAAACAUCUUACAAGUUCAUCAGUUAGUGAAUGGAUAAUAAAACUGUGGUACAUCCACACAAUGAAGUACUACUCAGUGAUAAAAAGGAAUGAAAUAAUUAUCCACAAAACAUGGGAGAAUCUUGACUGCGUUUUACUAAGUGAAAGAAGCCAGACCAAAAGGGCUACAUAUUGCUUGAUUCCACUUAUAUGACCUUCUGGAAAAGGCAAAACCAUAGGGAUGAAGAAUAAAUUGAUGGUUUCCAGAGAUUGAGUAUGGGGUAAGGGGUUGAAUACAAAAAGAGCCACCAAGAGAAAUUAUUAAAGUGACAGAACUUCUCUGUAUGGUACUAGUGUAGAAGAUACAUGACUGUGCAUUUGUCAAAACCCAUAGAACCAUAUACUAAAAAGAGUGAAUUUUACUGUGUGUAAAUUAGAAAUAAAAAUUUUAAAGCAACAAAGGUAUAUUUUUACCUAUUAAAUUAGCAGAGAUUUACAAAAUUAGAAAGGCCAUGUUUUGAUGAAUAUAUGGAGGGAUAUUCACAUUUAUACACUACUGGUGGGAAUGCAAUUUGCACAACUGUAUUGAGGAAAAUUCAGCAUCACCUGUCAGAUGCUCUAAUAAAUGCUCUCAUCAUCCAAACUAAAUAAUUUUAAUUCUGGAACCUUAUUCUAAAGAAAUAAUUCCAGAUGUGCAUAAAGGUUAAUGUACAAUGAUGUUCAUUACAUUUAAAUUUUAUACGCAAACUUGGUAAUAAUCAAAAUGUCCAAUAACAUGACAUCAUCUAAAUAAACUUUGUUAAAUCCAUAAGAUAUUAUGGAGCACUUAAUAUUGUAUUUUUCAAAGAACAAUAACAUGGAAAUAUGCUUGUGAAUUUUCAAAUGAAAAAAUUAGAUAAUAAAAUGAUAUAUACAAUAUGAUGUCAAUUUUGUUAUAAAACUGUGUUAUAUACAUAAUUUUUAAAAAGAAUGAAAGGACAUACACCUGAAUAUUACAAAUUAGUUUUCUGGCUUAUAAAAUUAUACAUAUUAUUUACUUUUUAAUUCAUACUUUAUUUUUUAACAAUGAUCACCUGUUACUUUUAUCAUGAAGGAAAACUUUUUUUUUAUUUUUAAAAAACAAGCCCAGCCCAAUCUAGCCAAGCCGAUGACCUUUUCAGUUGCUAUCUUCACUCAAAAUGCCACACUGUUGUCCACUGGGUGCUUAUUGUCCUUUUGCUCCUUUAGGGACCGCACUCACUGGUGAUAAACACCCGCCAAAGUGAGAGUGCAGGUGGCAGCAUCCUUCCAAGCUCAUUAAAUCUUUCAGUUAAACUGGCCUAGUAAGCCAUAGGCUGAUACUGGGAUCAAUCUUCAUGACCCAUAUAGGGAACCAAUGUUUUGAGAAGCUAUAAUGCCCACCUUAUGUAAUUGGGAGUUUCCCCUCUUCUAAAUCUCUUCUAUGAAAUAAUAUUUUGCAAUCCUUCUCCAAAGCAACUCUUUUUAUUUUAGAUAUUCCAUCAUGCCAUGGGGAAUGACAAAUAGUAGGUCCAAGGAUAGACUUUCCAUUGUACUAUUUCCUUAUCCCAGAUGUGGUGUUUGGGGAUGCCUAGAGCCAUUCUGUCCACUGUUCCUGUCUCAUCUCACCUAUCCAAUUUUUUAAGCUGGCUAUUUAGUACUACUUGUACUAUCUCCUGUGUACUUGAUCCCUUUAAGAGGGUCACAGACCCCUUGUCACAGAAUCAAAGAAUUCCUCUAAGUUACAAACCUUGUUUUGGGUUGUUUCUAAAUUGGGUCAAGAGAAACCUCCUCAAGGGCAGCUUGACAUGAGAAUAGUGGCUGGCAAUGACUCUCACAGUAGCAACAGAGGUAUUACAGCGCAACAACUUCUCUCCAAUCCACAUUAAAAAGGUAUGGAUUUAUGAAGUAAGUCUCACUGCCUGCUUCAAAGGAUUACUUCAAAUCCAUUGAAGUAAUAGAUUUUAUGGCAUCUCUCAUUUUCUCCCUUCCUUCCCUCCCUCCACUCCUAAGGGCAGUAAGUUCACUCCUAUCUUCAUUUACAAAUAUCACAGAUCUCAGGUUUGCCUCAUUCAUGUAAGCUUCUAAAUCCAAUAUCCACUAAAUUAUGUCAAGCAUCUGUAACUCCAUUAUGGAAUUUCAUAGCCUCCUCUUUCCUCUCUAUUUUUUAAAAUCUUUAAAAAUACUUAUUUCAGUAACUUUUGGGGUAAAAGUGGUUUUUGGUUACAUGGAUGAAUUGUAUAGUGGUGAAGUCUGAGAUUUUAGUGUACCCGUGGUACUGGUAUAAAAGUAGACACAUAGACCAAUGGAACAGAAUAGAGAACCCAGAAAUACAGCCAACUAUUUACAACCAACUGAUCGUUAACUAAGCACACAAAAAUAUAAACUGGGGAAACAACAUCCUACUUAAUAAAUGGUGCUGGGAAAAGUAGAUAGCCCACAUGUAGAAGAAUGAAACUGAAUCCAUCUCUCUUACCUUAUACAAAAAUCAACUCAAAAUAGAACAAUGACUUAAAUCUAAGACCCGAAACCAUGACAUUUCUACAGUAUAACCAGGAAAAACUUUUCUGGACAUUGGCCUAGGCAAAGGAUUCACGACUAAGACCCCAAAAGCAAAUGCAUCUGCCUCUCUUUUUAUAUCCAAGGGCAACAUGAAUGUAACUCGCAACACUCUCUAAGGUUUCAUUCACUCAUUCACAAUAAAACUUUCAGAUGGGGACUUGUUAGAGACAAAUGGCUUAGGACGAGAGAAAGCAAAAAAGACCUACUGAAACUCAUCAAGGUGGGGAAAGAAAUGGAGGAAGGUCAGUGAGGGCAAGAAAUUCCCUAGGAUGACUCUAGAAAAGAAAAAUGAGGCAAGAGCCAGGAUAAGGUGACAGAAGAUGUGAGCAAAGGUCUCCUGGGGAUUCAUUAGGAAUGUAUUUGACUCAGGCACAGUGGCUAACGCCUGUAAUCCCAGCACUUUGGGAGGCCGAAGGCAGGCAGAUCACUUGAGGUCAGGAGUUCAAGACCAGCCUGGCCAACAUGGUGAAACCCCAUCUCUACUAAAAAUACAAAAAUUAGCUGGGUGUGGUGCCAUGUGCUUAUAGUCCCAGCUACUUGAGAGACUGAGGCAGUAGAAUUGCUUGAACUCAGGAGGCAGAGGUUGCAGUGAGCCAAGAUGACAAGAUGGCGCCACUACACUCCAGCUUGGGCGACAGAGCAAGACUCCAUCUCCCCGCCACAAAGAAGGAAUGUAUUUGAAACACACAAGAAUUUCCACUUCCCUUAUAACCUAUCCUGCCCAUCCUCGAGAGACAAAAACUAACCAGGACUCCUGAUAUUGUUUCUGUUCAUAUCUGUAUGUCCUAAAACAAGGACAUAUCUGAUGACCAAAUCAGAAGGGGGACCUGGGAUGGGGAAAGCCCUCCUACCAGUAUUUCAUGAUCAGUUGAGACAUCAGGCAUAAAUCCUGGGGCUGGAGUUCGCAGAGUUGCUGGCCUUGACUACAUCUCCAAUGGCUGAUAUGAGAUCAGGUAAGGCGUGGGCAUCAGAGUAAUCAAUUUGAGUAUUUUUCAACUCCAGCCAUAACUAUGACAAAUUCAACCUCAACCUUAGCAUUCAUGCCUCUCUGGGUCUUAAGUGAUGGGACGAAAGUGCAAAUGAAAGAAGAGGGUGGCUCCCAAAGGCAUAUACGUGGGAAAGAAAAGUGCCAGUGGAAGGAGAAAGUUAUGGCUUUUGUUUGAUCUCAUCAGUGAUAUGUCUUACUUAUAAGGCUUAAGGAAAAAGUAAACAAAUAUGAGCACAAGGAUUGGGUUUACUUUCAAAUCAGCUGACUACUCUCCUUCUAUGAAGCUGGGUCAUUUAUUGCUGAAAUCCAAACCCAUCUCUGGUGGCCUAUAUUCCAGCAGUGGGGAUCCACAACAUUAUUGAAGGCCAAACAGAGCAAGUACUCUACCAUGUUUUAAGAAUUUUUUUUCCCGUAAACAUGGGGAGCUGUAUGGGAAGUAACUAUUCAUAUACACAUAUCGGUGAGUACAGUAACUUCUGAAAUGCGACAAGAGAAAAGAGAAAUCUAAGCAUGCAUUUGAAAAUAGCAACCUGUGAUCUGGAGAGGAUCUUAAUAGUGAUCCAUUUGUUGAAUGAUGCUUUGUGAAGCUGAGAUGAAGAGAGGUUGUAGUCAUCCCCCGCUACUUCUUUCCUUUUCUUCUCCCUCACAUUAAGUCUUCUACCAGCUCCUCCUGAGGAAUAAAUACAAAGCAGCCCCUACAAGAGGGGAUGGGUUGUCUGAGGGCCUGAUCACUUUAACACAGUAGUUCUUAAACUUCUUUUGGAAUAUUGAGUCAUUUGGAGAAUAUAAAAGACAUGGAUCCUCUCCCCAGUAAAAUGUACUCAAAAGAAAAAUGUCUGCAUGCCAUGUCAGAGGUUUUAUAGACUCUCUUCUCCUAAGCUUUACCUUCCUUGUCCUUAAGGCCAUCUCUGUGCCUCAAUUGCCAGCCCUCUUCCCUAACAGCACAGGGAAAUUCUACAAUAUGGACCACUAAACUGGAUGUAUUCUGACCCUAGAGUGGCUUUUACAAAGUAGUUGUUACUCACCUAUUGAUGUGAGCUUUCUUUUGUCUACCCUUUAUCCUAAAAAGCUGAAUUAAUAGGAUUGUGUCUUGCUCCGGUUAAUCAACAUGUGUGUACUAUGACUGGUUUUUUGUUUUUGUUGUUGUUUUUUAAGAGCAGCACUAGCUCACUCUUCAACUCAGAGGCUCAGAAGCCAAAGUACAUUAUGGAACAUGGCCAACAAAUGCUUGUAACAUGUAACUAACUUAGGUCAAGAUCAAGGAAAAAUUUAGAUCCUAAAUAAAUCUUUUUAUGCCACUUCAAGCUGACCAGCCUGCAGCUCUUUGAAAGAGUUAGGAGACGGCCACAGGAUUCCAGCAGUGCUAAAGGCCAACAGCUCCCCUAGCUGUUCUCACCAGGAAUUCUUGCGCAUUCUCCCACUCCUGAAGUGUGACAGACCCAAAAGAGGGAACAGAUGGCAUAUAGCAAGGUGUCAGGCAUAGAGCAAAUACUCAAUAAAAGAAGGAAUCACCUGGAUCCCCCCACUCUUCUAAGGCUCAUCUACUAUCCCACUACAGCCUUUCUUCUCUAGUAUUUGCAGUUAACAUGUGCCAACCUCCAAGUCAUUCCUCACAGUCACUGAAGCCUUUUGUACCUGGCCCAGUGUUCAUUCUAAGCCUAGCUUCUACUAUAAUCCUGGGUUACUAUAAUAGUCAUGUAAAUGAUCAUCUGACAUCCUAGCUUCACAGGUAUCUUAACCACUCCAGUUUUGAAAUCUAACACUCCAAAGUCUACUCUGAUUACAGGUCCUAUCACUCCAGUUUUCCAAUUACUCAGCACUCACCUUGUUCACAUUAAAGCCUCUUUUUGGCCCAGACUGAGGCCACUCCUGACCUUACUUCCUUCCAUGUCCAGGUUGGAUUUUUUUUUUUAAAUGAAGUCUCACUCUGUUACCCAGGCUGGAGUACAGUGGGUGGGAUCUCGGCUCACUGCAACCUCCGCCUCCUGGGUUCAAGUGAUUCUCCUGCCUCAG
rnacentral:lncRNA from 10 species